GGCCUCCUGAUGCUUACCACAGGCUGUGUUCUUACACUCACUGUAUAGAAAAAGGAGGCAAAGUAAACCUAUCCCAUAUACACCUCAGUCCAGUCCGUAAGCCUGAUCUGUAUUGUGAAUGGGAAGACAUGG
rnacentral:snoRNA from 1 species